rnacentral:misc_RNA from 1 species
GAAAGUAAAAGUCGUAACAAGGUUUCCGUAGGUGAACCUGCGGAAGGAUCAUUCAUAAUAAAGUGUUUUAUGGCACUUUUUAAAAAUCCAUAUCCACCUUGUGUGCAAUGUUAGAUCUCGUCAAUCUUGGCGAGAUUUUUAUACAUCAACUCAUUCUUUAACUAAUUUGUCUGAAAAGUAUUAUGAAUACUUAAUUCAAAAUACAACUUUCAACAACGGAUCUCUUGGCUCUC